GGCUAUGUAGCUCAGCUGGUUAGAGCACGGCACUCAUAAUGCCGGGGUCGCAGGUUCAAGUCCCGCCAUAGCCACCA
rnacentral:tRNA from 2 species